GUGAACGCUGGCGGUAGGCCUAACACAUGCAAGUCGAACGGCAGCACAGUAAGAGCUUGCUCUUACGGGUGGCGAGUGGCGGACGGGUGGGGAAUACAUCGGAAUCUACUUUUUCGUGGGGGAUAACGUAGGGAAACUUACGCUAAUACCGCAUACGACCUACGGGUGAAAGCAGGGGAUCUUCGGACCUUGCGCGGUUGAAUGAGCCGAUGUCGGAUUAGCUAGUUGGCGGGGUAAAGGCCCACCAAGGCGACGAUCCGUAGCUGGUCUGAGAGGAUGAUCAGCCACACUGGAACUGAGACACGGUCCAGACUCCUACGGGAGGCAGCAGUGGGGAAUAUUGGACAAUGGGCGCAAGCCUGAUCCAGCCAUACCGCGUGGGUGAAGAAGGCCUUCGGGUUGUAAAGCCCUUUUGUUGGGAAAGAAAAGCAGCAGGUUAAUACCCCGCUGUUCUGACGGUACCCAAAGAAUAAGCACCGGCUAACUUCGUG
rnacentral:rRNA from 1 species